rnacentral:rRNA from 1 species
UACGUGGGGUGCAAGCGUUAUCCGGAUUUACUGGGCGUAAAACGUACCGUCGGUGACCCGAUAAGUUCUUUGUUCAAGCCUGGGGCUCAACUCCAGAAAAGCACAGAAUACUAUCGGGAUUGAGUUUGUUCGGGGGAGCUGGAAUUCUCGGUGGAGGGGUGAAAUCCGUAGAUAUCGAGAGGAACGCCGUACGCGAAGGCAAGCUCCUAGGACACAACUGACACUCAUGGACGACAGCUCGGGGAGCAAAAGGG